AUGGUCUGGGCAUCUGUGCAUACUCCUACUCCUAGUCCUCUGUUUUUACUGUUAGCCAUCCUCCUCUUGUCACGAGCAGCUUUGAACCCCAUGUCAUCUGCAACUGCAACACUAGCUGAUUACAGCACCAAUACAACCAGAGAUGCUCUGCUCUGCCUCAAGUCCCGCCUCCACAGCCCCACCCGAGCUUUCGCCACUUGGAACGACGACACCUCACCAGAUUUCUGCAAUUGGCACGGCGUCACAUGCACAACAAAGACAGGGCAACAACCCCUGCUGGUGGCCUUGGAUAUUGAGGAGGAAGGCCUCGCCGGUGAGAUCCCGCCCUGCAUCUCCAACCUCACUUCCCUGGUAAGGAUCCACUUGCCCAACAACCAGAUCUCCGGCCAUAUCCCGCCGGAACUUGGCCGUCUCUCCGGGCUCCGGUAUCUCAACCUCAGCUUCAACAUCCUCGGUGGCACCAUCCCUUUCAGCCUUGGUAACCUUCGCAACCUUUCGUCUCUAGACUUAGGCAACAAUCGGUUUUCCGGCAAGAUUCCGCCGCUGCUCGGGAGCUCCCCGGCGACAGAGUUUGUCAACCUCCCCAACAAUCUUCUAUACGGAGAAAUCCCACAAUCACUAGCAAAUAGUUCCUCCCUCCGUUACAUUUCUCUUGACAACAACAGCAUUCAAGGGGCUAUCCCUUCGUCCCUGUUCAACAACUCAAUCAUCAUGGAGAUACACCUUUCGCACAACAAUCUUUCUGGUGCAAUUCCACCUUUCAUCAUGUUCCCUUCAAAACUCACCUACCUAGAUCUCUCCCAAAACAGUCUUUCCGGACCCGUGCCAUCGUCGGUGGCAAACCUCUCGUCCCUUACCUCACUCGACCUCUCGCACAACCAGUUGCAAGGAUCCAUUCCAGAUUUGGGUAGACUUGCAGGGCUACAAAGACUCGGUCUCUCCUAUAAUAGUCUGUCAGGCAUAGUGCCACCCUCCAUUUACAAUCUGUCUUCAUUGAACGUUCUUAGACUGACAAGCAAUAACCUUGGAGGAACACUGCCUUUUGAUAUGGGUAACACGCUUCCUAACCUCCAAACACUGAGCAUGGCUGAUAAUCAUUUUGAGGGAGACAUCCCUGCCUCACUACAAAAUGCCUCUGGCAUGGUGUAUAUCCAUCUAGCCAACAAUUCUCUAACUGGGGUGGUUCCUUCUUUCAGCUCCAUGCCAAGUUUGAAGUAUGUAAUGUUGUACGCAAAUCACCUAGAGGCUGGAGACUGGACAUUCUUCUCCUCUUUGGCGAAUUGUACACAGCUGCUGAAACUUAAUGUAGGUGACAACAACUUGCGCGGGGAUUUACCAGCAAAUUCCAUAGCAAAUCUUCCCAAGAGCUUGACUGCUCUGACUCUCCGGUCAAACGACAUCUCUGGCACCAUCCCCUUGGAGAUUGGAAACCUCUCAAGCCUUUCCAUGCUCUAUCUUAAUACUAAUCUUUUGAUGGGGUCUAUACCUUCUACCAUUGGUCAGCUACGCAACUUGGUUGAGCUUAGCCUGUCACAGAACAAAUUUUCUGGAGAUAUUCCACCUUCCAUUGGCAACUUAAAUAAACUAGAACAACUUUAUUUGCAAGAAAAUCAAUUGAGUGGAAGCAUCCCUGAAAGUUUAGGAAGCUGCCAGAAGUUGUUGGCACUAAACCUUUCCUGUAAUGCCCUUGGUGGAAGCAUGAGCGGGCAUAUGUUGAGCAGGUUGAGUCAACUGAGUUUGUUACUAGAUUUAUCCCACAACCAACUCACAAUGUUCAUACCACUAGAUAUGGGUAGCUUGGUAAACCUUGGUUCCUUGAACAUCUCUCACAACAAUCUCAUGGGCAGAAUCCCAUCCACACUCGGUGCAUGUGUCCGGUUGGAAGCGCUUCGUGUAGAAGGGAACCUCCUGCAAGGAAGCAUUCCGCAAUCACUAGCAAGCCUCAAAGGCAUGCAAGUGUUAGAUUUCUCCCACAACAACCUAUCUGGUACAAUUCCGGAGUUCCUCGAGACCUUCACCUCGUUGCAGUAUUUGAAUAUGUCCUUCAACAACUUGGAAGGACCAGUUCCCACCAGUGGAGUGUUUGCUAACACAGGUGGUAUUUUUGUCCAAGGAAAUCCACACCUUUGUGCCAAUGUUGCAAUACAAGAGCUGCCAAGUUGCUUUUCUUCAGCAUCCACAAAAAAUCACAAGUUCGUUCUUCCUAUGUCGAUAGCUCUGUCAACUCUCGUUGCACUUGCUUUGAUGUUGGGGGUGUUCAAUUUUCUGUUGAGGAGGAGAUACAAACCCAGUGAGAAAAUUGGACAUUCAUACAUGGAAUUGAAAAGGAUAACAUAUGGCGACAUAAACAAAGCAACAGACAGUUUUUCUCUAGCCAACGUAGUCGGCUCCGGGCAAUUUGGGACUGUCUACAAAGGUUGCUUCAACGCGAAAGAUGGUACGGUUGCGGUUAAAGUCUUCAAGCUCAAUCAGGAUGGCGCAUUGCAUAGCUUCAUUGCUGAGUGCAAAGCACUGCAACACAUCCGCCACCGGAAUCUCGUGAAGGUUAUAACCGCAUGCUCAACUUAUGACUCAGUGGGAAAUGAGUUCAGGGCUCUAGUCUUUGAGUAUAUGGCCAAUGGAAGCCUUGAAGACCGACUUCAUAACCACCAGUGUGGUGGUUUGAGUUUGGGCGCAAUGAUAUGCAUAUCAGUUGACAUUGCUUGUGCUCUUGAAUACCUACAUAACCAGUGCAUCCCACCGGUUGUUCACUGCGAUCUGAAACCAAGCAACAUACUUUUUGACAAUGACCAUACUGCACAUGUCUGCGACUUUGGUCUAGGAAAGCUAAUUCAUGGAUGUUCAUUUGGAGGGCAGAGCGGCACAACAAGCAUAAUUGGGCCAAGGGGAUCUAUUGGGUACAUACCUCCUGAGUAUGGAAUGGGCAGUGAAAUCUCAACCGAGGGCGACGUCUACAGCUAUGGCAUUCUUCUUUUAGAAAUGCUAACACGGAAACGACCUACUAAUGAAGAGUUCAGUGAUGGCUUGACGCUCCGCAAGUAUGUAGAAGCAUCACUUUCACGAACCGAAGACAUUCUUCAACCCAGCCUUACUUGGGAGACGGGAGAUCAGCGUGUUGAUGAUAUCCCAAAGAUGAAAGAAUACAAGACACUUGCACUUAGUUAUGCUCUCCGGCUCCUGAAGCUUGGUUUGUUAUGCUCCACAGAAUCACCAAAAGAUCGUCCAGCGAUGCAUGAUGUCUACAGUGAAGUCAUAGAAGUAAAAGAGGCAUUCUUCUCUAUGGACAACAAAAGCAAAGACCCUAAAUAA
rnacentral:rRNA from 1 species